CUCUAUUCGUAUCGUAGUACGUUCGUGUGCGCUCGAAAGAUUUUGGGUCAGAUUGUAAUCAUGGCAUUGAAUAAUAAUGUCGGGAACCACGUUAUUACAAACGGAGAAGCGUUGCACGACGUACACGACAAUGAAGAACUUGAUGACGAUUCGCUUGAGACGUUUCUCUUUAGUUCAGAAUCCGUCGGCGAGGGACAUACCGAUAAAAUGUGUGAUCAGAUAAGUGACGCCAUACUUGAUGCCCAUCUGAGACAAGACCCAAAUGCCAAAGUAGCGUGUGAAACGGCAACUAAAACUGGGAUGAUCAUGGUGUUUGGAGAAAUCACGUCUGAUGCAGUGGUUGACUACCAGCGUAUUGUGAGGGAAACCGUAAAAAAGAUAGGUUACGACUGCAGCACCAAAGGUUUUGAUUACAGAACAUGCAAUGUGUUGGUAGCUAUUGAGCAACAAAGUCCUGAAAUAGCAGCUGGUGUUCAUCAGCAGAGAAAGGAAGAAGACAUUGGGGCUGGAGAUCAGGGUCUUAUGUUUGGCUAUGCCACAGAUGAGACAGAAGAGUGCAUGCCACUGACUGUAGUGCUUGCACACAAGUUGAACAAGCGGCUGGCAGAGCUUCGCCGAGAUGGCACCUUUCCUUGGGCAGGACCCGACUCCAAGACACAAGUGACAUGCGAGUACUAUUUCGACCAUGGCAGGGCAGUGCCCAUUAGAGUGCACACAGUUGUGGUGUCGACACAGCAUUCAGAGGACAUUACGCUUGAUGAACUUCGUAAACAAGUGAUGGAGCGUGUCGUCAAGGAAGUGAUCCCAGCAAAAUAUUUGGAUCGUCGCACAGUUUACCACAUCAACCCCUGUGGAAAGUUUGUGCAGGCUGGUCCCAUGGGAGAUGCUGGUCUAACAGGUCGUAAAAUCAUUGUGGACACCUACGGAGGCUGGGGUGCCCAUGGUGGAGGUGCUUUCUCUGGCAAAGAUCCCACAAAAGUGGACCGAUCUGCUGCCUAUGCUGCUCGUUGGGUAGCUAAAUCUCUCGUCAAAGGUGGCAUUUGCAAGCGAUGCCUGGUGCAGGUUUCGUAUGCUAUAGGCAUUGCUGAACCACUUUCAAUCACUGUGCUACCUUAUGGUACCUCCAAGUACGCUCAGAAGGAACUGUUGGAGAUAGUGAACAAGAAUUUUGACUUGCGGCCUGGUAUUAUUAUUAGGGACCUGCAGUUGAAGAACCCCAUCUACCAGAGCACCAGUGCAUAUGGACAUUUUGGUCGCAAAGAAUUCCCAUGGGAGAUUCCCAAGAAACUGGUUCUUUAACACACGCCAUGCCCAGCAAUGUUUUGUGUAUACUGUCGGGUGGGCACUGUUGUGUGCCAUGUGUCUAGGUUUUGCAUUCAUUUCACCUUGCUAAAUGAAAGGAGGUAAUUGCCCUGGAUAAUUAAUUCCCCUGCCAUUUCUUUCUUCGCCCACAUGUGUUAAUAGCUGGCAGAUAAUUGUGUGCAAGUGUGUGUUACUAUACAAGG
rnacentral:misc_RNA from 1 species